ensembl:rRNA 5S_rRNA 5S ribosomal RNA
GCUUACGGCCAUACCACCCUGAGCACACCCGAUCUCGUCUGAUCUCGGAAGCUAAGCAGGGUCGGGCCUGGUUAGUACUUGGAUGGGAGACCGCCUGGGAAUACCAGGUGCUGUAAGCU